ensembl:lncRNA
GUUAAACUUAUCAAACCAUACAUUUCAUAAGCUCUUUAGUGAAACUGAAAGCAGAUUGGCGGGUGCCGGGGGGAGGGUGGGGCGCAUCCUUUUGGUGUGGUCAUCAAACAAGGACUUUUCUUGUAGCAAAAGACAAAUUGUGGAAUGAAUGCAAUAUCUAAGUGAAGUUGAUGAUGGUGAUUUAUAUUGGCUCAUAUUUAAUCUAUGGGAAGAUACAAUAGUGAUACAAAAGCUUUUAGCAACUAAUAUAUAUUUUUAAUCUUUGAAAGCCAUGUGGCUCAGGAUCCCUGGGCCUAUAAAAUGGUGCUAUUCAGACAAACAGUUUUUGUAAGCUAAGGGUCUGUGUUGAAUUUGCAAUUUAUUGCCCUUUCUUCCAGUUCAGCUGAAAGUCUUCUCAGCUGGGAGAGCAACAGGUGUUUUACUAACACUGUUAGCCUAUUGCCACUGUCCUGAGAAAGGGUCUACGAAUGUCUGAGUCUCAGUCUCCUCCUCGACUCACAUAAUCUAGGUUUAAAUCUAGCUUUGUCACCUCGUGGCUGUGUGAUUUUUGACAAGUUACUUAAACCUGAUCCGCAGGUACUACAGCUUUAAAAUGGGGCCAACAGAAGUACCUUGAACGCAGGUGUUGCUCAGAUUUCAGGCAAUAAGCAUGAAGUGCUCACCACAGCUUCUGAUCUAUCAUCAGAGCUCGUCUCCUUGUGGUUGCUCCUGCUCUUACGAGUCGGCAUAGAAAGGAGGCUGGUGUUCCAGGCUCACCCUGGUGGCCCGUCCCAAUUGUUGAAGAAACUGAAGCUAGAAAAUUAAAGCCACAAAGCUAGGAGGCGAUGCAGCAGAAAUUUGAACCCAGGACAUGCUGGUGCGACUGCAAACCCAAGUGAUUUCCACUCUCUGUGCUGCCUCCCUGGAAGGCCUGAAUGCACUCUUGACGGGCUGUGUUGGGUCGUGAGCAUCAGUCUGGCUCAUGGCUUCCUUCAGUGCAGAGGAAGUUAACACCGGAGGGAACAGAUGAGCGGAUAAUGUGAGCCUGGAAAUAUGACUUUGCUGCACUUCACCAGAUGAGUUCGAGCGGAAUACCAGAUGGUGCUACCUCAUUUGUGUUUUUACAAAUAUGCAAUUCUUUUAUUUUUUUAAAGAAGAAAUAGAGAUCAUGUUGGUCCCAGGAAAAUAUAAAAAUUCUUAUGUUUUGCUGCAAUGUUGCCUUGUUGUCCUAUCUCAUAUAAGGAUGAUAUAAGCCUUAUUACAACAUAUAUGUGUGUUUUAAGAUUUUUAUAAUACUUUGUUUAAAAUACCCCUGUAUUUUUCCUGUUAUAAAGCAAUAUGUGUUCAUACUAAAACAUUUAGAACAUAUAGAUAAGUAAUAAUACUACCAUACUGAAUUGGCGACUGUUAACUAUUUGGUGCAUAUCCUUUCAUAAAUAUAUUGAUGCAUUUUUCUCAAGAGCUCCACUUUUAAAAUGUUCUUAACUGUACCAAAGAUGCUGAUUGGACAAAUGUUUCUUUAGGCUUUAUGAUCUUCUCAACAAACACUUUUAUUCAUCUCAUUACCGGGCACUCCUGUCCACACAAUUGCUCAUGCUGGAUAUCUAGCAGUCAGUUUUGGUACCUCCUUCUCCCCUCACCUCCCACAUCUGAUCUGUUACCAAGUCCUAUUGAUUCUACCUGUCUUCAUCCACCUUGCUGCAUCUCCACUGCCAUCACGUGCUUACUGGCCCAUGCAAAUAUUUCUUGCUGCCUGGAAUGCUCCCCUUUGUUCAUCUCCGUACCUCUUGCUCUCCCGAGGCCCCUUCCCUCUUGUCUUCACCUUCCUAAUAACUGCUUGCCCUUUAGAUUUCAUUUUUUGGUAUCAUUUCUUCCAGGAAACCCUUUCUGAUAAACCCAUCCAGACUGGAUUUGGUAUGUCUUCUGUAUGCUUUCUUAGCACCAUAUAUACGUCUCUAUUAUGCCACUUUUCACCCUGGAACUGCACCCUGUUUACCUUGCCGUGUUCCUCACUGUGUUCACUUAGCAAGUGCCUGCCCUUGCAGGUGAUUGAUACGUAUUGUUGGAUGGAUGAAUGGGCAUAGUAGGAAAUUAGGUUUAAUGGGAUCAGUUUUGGCCUCUGAGAACCAUAUUGAUUUUUGAGUAAAGGAGUGAUGCAGAAACACCUGACUUUAGAACUGGUAGUUUAUGGAGGACAAAUUGAAAAGAAAUGAGGUAAACUAAAGAGUACUACCAGGAGAUUGCUGCCUGAUUGAAGGGGAAAGUACCAACAACAUUGACUCUUGUUAUUGGGAAUAGGAAGGUACGAAUAUGAGGUCCCUCAAAUGAAUAAGCAAAGACCUGCUCCUGGUCACUCUUGGGUUAAAUAAUGCAAGUGGAACUGUCAGGGGUCCAUCCCAAAUAGCUCAGACAGACAAUUCUAACAGAAGAGGUGAUGGCUACAGGCUAGAAAGACACUUUCAGAAAGGUAGGUGGCGGCGGAGGGGGGGGGGGCUCGCUAAAAUUGCCCUUUUCUUUCCCACCACCUUCUCCUCAGCAACGGGUUCACCUAGUUCAACUCUCUCUCAUCUGGUGACACAAACUUUCUCCCAGGGGGAGGGGAUCUGACUGCCCUUCUGGGCGGUGUAGCUAUUCUCCCAAGAGCUGCUGUUUGCUUUUCUGAGUUUGCAUUUUAACAUGGACUAGUUGCAGUAGUAAUAGAAGGAACAGCACGUAACACAAUCUGUCAUCCCAAAGUUGGGAAAUAGAGCCAGGAGGUUAAUUCCUGCUGCGGAGAAACACUGAGGGUGGUUUCGUGUAGGGCACACAGCCUGCAGUGGUUCCUGAGUGUUAGGUUAAAAAAUGGAAAGGCCCAGGAUAAAUUAAAACCAAAGAACUUUUUGGAAAAUUCCAAUAGGGGAUUUAAAAAGUAGAGAUGGUUUUUAUGUUUACGUGUUCAGAAAUAAAGUCAAGCUACUCUUUCCUCUUCUUUAAAUGCAAUUUCUAAUU